rnacentral:rRNA from 1 species
AGAGUUUGAUCAUGGCUCAGAACGAACGUUAGCGGCGCGUUUUAUGCAUGCAAGUCGAGCGGUGCGGGGCUUCSGUCCCGCAUAGCGGCGGACUGGUGAGUAACACGUGGAUAAUCUGCCUUGCAGUCGGGAAUAUCCCAUGGAAACAUGGUGCAAUACCGGAUACGAACGUCGGCGCACAAGCGCUGGCGAGGAAAGGGGCCAAGGCCCUGCUGCGAGAUGAGUCCUUGUCCCAUUAGCUAGAUGGCGGGGUAAAGGYCCACCAUGGCUGUGAUGGGUAGCCGGCCUGAGAGGGUGAACGGCCACAUUGGGACUGAGAUACGGCCCAGACUUCUACGGGAGGCAGCAGCAAAGAAUCUUCCGCAAUGGACGAAAGUCUGACGGAGCGACGCCGCGUGAGCGAUGAAGGCCGCAAGGUUGUAAAGCUCUUUUCGGGGGGAAGAAUAAUGCCGGCAGGGAAUGGCCGGCGGAUGACAUCAACCCCGGAAUAAGGUCCGGCUAACUACGUGCCAGCAGCCGCGGUAACACGUAGGGACCUAACGUUGUUCGGAAUUAUUGGGCGUAAAGGGCGCGCAGGCGGCCGCUCAAGUCUGGUGUUAAAUGGUCGGGCUCAACCCGAUCAUGCGCUGGAAACUGGGUGGCUUGAGUUCAGGAGGGAUGCCGGAUCAGUGUAGGGUGAAUCUGUAGAWUUCUGAGACACGAUGGCGAGGCAGCAUYCUGGCCAUG